UAUUCUAAUAAUUUAUAUUUCUUUUUUGUCCCAGGUAUUUACCACCAGAGUGUUUUGUGGUUGGGAAAGAACCACCAAAGAUCUCAAAUAAAGUUGAUGUGUGGUCAGUGGGUGUGAUCUUCUAUCAGUGUCUUUAUGGAAGGAAGCCUUUUGGCCAUAACCAGUCUCAGCAAGACAUCCUACAAGAGAAUACGAUUCUUAAAGCUACUGAAGUGCAGUUCCCGCCAAAGCCAGUAGUAACACCUGAAGCAAAGGCGUUUAUUCGACGAUGCUUGGCCUACCGAAAGGAGGACCGCAUUGAUGUCCAGCAGCUGGCCUGUGAUCCCUACUUGUUGCCUCACAUCCGAAAGUCAGUCUCUACGAGUAGCCCUGCUGGAGCUGCUAUUGCAUCAACCUCUGGGGCGUCCAAUAACAGUUCUUCUAAUUGAGACCGACU
rnacentral:sRNA from 1 species